CAUAUAAUUAUGACAAUUAUAUUUCCAAGAUAUUCUGGGAUCUUUACAGUUUCAUAAUUUUGCUCUUUUUACUAUACAACACUCCUUUUAUUGAAACAAAUACAGAUUUUGGAGUCAGACAGACCUAGUCUGGAUUUGAAUUCCAGCUCUCCUUCUUACCAGCCUGGGGCCAUGGAGAAUGUUGUCCAUUUCCCUGAGCCUCAGUGUUCUUCUCUGUAAAAUGUGGAUGAUACCUGACUCCCAGGCAUUUUGCCAGGAUUACAUGGGAUUCCUACACAGUGCAAUGUCUAGUGAUAAUAUAAAUACUAAAAGCAACUUGUUAAAUGUAUAAAUAAAUGUGAUUUAUUUUUGCUCCUUUACAUACAGUAUCAUGGAUAUAAUUUGUAGAUGUGUGUACUGUGAAUACAAUGGCCACUUCUCUUGCUCCCA
rnacentral:lncRNA from 1 species